GAGGGUAUAGCUCAGUGGUAGAGUGCAUACCUAGCAUGCAUGAAGUCCUGGGUUCAAUUGCCAGAACCUCCU
rnacentral:tRNA from 1 species